rnacentral:misc_RNA from 1 species
GAUCAUUAGUGAUUGCCUUAAUUGGCUUAUAACUAUAUCCACUUACACCUGUGAACUGUUCUACUACUUGACGCAAGUCGAGUAUUUUUACAAACAAUGUGUAAUGAACGUCGUUUUAUUAUAACAAAAUAAAACUUUCAACAACGGAUCUCUUGGCUCUCGCAUCGAUGAAGAACGCAGCGAAUUGCGAUAAGUAAUGUGAAUUGCAGAAUUCAGUGAAUCAUCGAAUCUUUGAACGCAGCUUGCGCUCUCUGGUAUUCCGGAGAGCAUGCCUGUUUCAGUGUCAUGAAAUCUCAACCACUAGGGUUUCCUAAUGGAUUGGAUUUGGGCGUCUGCGAUCUCUGAUCGCUCGCCUUAAAAGAGUUAGCAAGUUUGACAUUAAUGUCUGGUGUAAUAAGUUUCACUGGGUCCAUUGUGUUGAAGCGUGCUUCUAAUCGUCCGCAAGGACAAUUACUUGACUCUG